UGCAACAGAGUAAGCAACUAUUCGCCAUCAAUAACCCAUGGAUUUGCCAUGAAGCCCAAGCAGUCACAGAGGAACAUGUUUGUCUACCAACGAUGGCUUUUCAUGACAACAACAACAAUCCUGACUCGUGUUCUGGCAUGGGUCUCUGCCAAGUACCCAUUACGCAACACCGGGCUGUGGUGGAAAGAAACAAGGACGAAGAGACACAGCGGUGACAGUAAAGCAGAGUCAAGAGAAAGGCCAUUUAACGAGUGGUACAUCUUUUUUU
rnacentral:lncRNA from 1 species